rnacentral:rRNA from 1 species
UACGUAGGGGGCAAGCGUUGUCCGGAUUUAUUGGGCGUAAAGAGCGUGUAGGCGGCCGUACAGGUCAGCUGUGAAAACUCGAGGCUCAACCUCGAGACGUCGGUUGAAACCGUACGGCUAGAGUCCGGAAGAGGAGAGUGGAAUUCCCGGGUGUAGCGGUGAAAUGCGCAGAUAUCGGGAAGAACACCCGUGGCGAAGGCGGCUCUCUGGGACGGUACUGGACGCUGAGACGCGAAAGCGUGGGGAGCGAACAGG